rnacentral:rRNA from 1 species
CCUACGGGAGGCUGCAGUGGGGAAUAUUGCGCAAUGGGCGAAAGCCUGAAGCAGCGACGCAGCGUGAGGGAUGAAGGUCUUAGGAUCGUAAACCUCUGUCAGCAGGGAAGUACGGUCACUGUGCUAAUCAGCAGUGAAUUGACGGUACCUGCAAAGAAAGCACCGGCUAACUCCGUGCCAGCAGCCGCGGGAAUACGGAGGAGGCGAGCGUUAAUCGGAAUUACUGGGAUUAAAGCGCGCGUAGGCGGUAUGUCAAGUCAAGUGUGAAAUUCCCGCGCUCAACGUGGGAACUGCCAUUGAAACUGGCAAACUUGAGUGUGGUAGAGGAUAGUGGAAUUCGAGGUGUAGCAGUGAAAUGCUUAGAUAUCUCGAGGAACAUCGGUGGCGAAGGCGACUAUCU